rnacentral:tRNA from 2 species
GCGCCGUGGUUCAAUGGUCAGAACGCGAAUGCACCGUUUCAUCGACUCCUUGUCGUCGCAUCUUUUCCCCCCGCCUCGGCGGGAUGGCAGCGAAUGCCACGGGUACUACAUCGUGUCGCGGGUUCGAACCCCGCCAGCCGCA